UACGUAGGGGGCAAGCGUUGUCCGGAUUUAUUGGGCGUAAAGAGCGUGUAGGCGGCCAGAUAGGUCCGUUGUGAAAACUCGAGGCUCAACCUCGAGACGCCGAUGGAAACCAUUUGGCUAGAGUCCGGAAGAGGAGAGUGGAAUUCCUGGUGUAGCGGUGAAAUGCGCAGAUAUCAGGAGGAACACCGGUGGCGAAGGCGGGUCUCUGGGCAGUAACUGACGCUGAGGAGCGAAAGCGUGGGGAGCGAACAGG
rnacentral:rRNA from 1 species